rnacentral:lncRNA from 1 species
AGGGAGUGAGGGAGGAAGGGUUUGGAGAGGAUGUGGAGAUUUUGUUCAACAGUUGCCAAUCAAAGAGUUUGAACUGGACUAAAAUCUAGUGAAUAUAGUUUUGAAGCCCAAAUACAAAUUGAAAAAAGCUUAUUUUCUCAUAUGACCUGUUUAGACCUGUAGGAACCAGCUCGUAAAACGCGUCGGGUUAGGAUCAAUUUUAAUUUUAAAUUAUUAUCGCCUCGUCCCGUCUCGUUCUGUUUUCAAACUGGUCGGGUCUAGUCUCUUUAAUUUUGGGCUCCACCUAGCCUAUGCCUACCCCUAGUGUUAAGUGAUGUAAUUUUGGUACUUACUCUUAAAAAAAUUUAUGAUGUGUUGUUUAUUAACUUUUUUAUUUUAAAGGCUUUCCAUUAAAACUCCUUUAUUUAUUUGUUGGUCAAAUAUUUUAACGUUUAAUAAGUGUAUGAGAAUGAGAACGUUAAGUAGUUGCCAUUGCCACAACAAAACUGGCAAAUACGACCCCAAUCGUAAUAUUUUAACUGAGAAAUCAUUUGACGUCACAUGAUAUUAUUCUUUCAUUGAAGCCAAGAAAGUGACUUUCCCAGGAAACAUUUAAACCCAUAUUAUUAUUAUUAUAUUAUUAUUAUUUAUAGGCCAAUGCUUUUAGAUUUAGGAGACCCUUCUUUGUACUUUCACUUGAUUUUCUUUAUUGUGUUGGUGGUGCCUUAAUUAGCACUUGUCCAAAAUUUACCCCUAAUUCAAUCCAUAAUUUACAUGGAGAACAUACACCUACACUCAUUUAUUUUUAUUUGAUUCUUUCGUGCAUAAAUUUAUGCAUUUUAUUUUAUCUAAUACAAAAUGCAAUCAUUUUACCUUACCAUAAUAUUUACUUGUAUUCUUAUAGAUGGAGUUAAAUUUAAAACGUCUUCUAAUAUUGAAAUAAAAAACACUAAUUACCAAAUAUUUACAAGCCUGCAGGGUUGGCCUGUAAUGUUUUUUACAAUAUACGCAUGUGGAUACCGAUACUUAAUGAGUAAAUAGAGACUGUAAGAAUAUUACUGUGUAAAUUUCUAUCAUCCAAUGCAACUGUACAUCUCAUACACCUAUGCAUGGUAUAAUUAUGAGAAAGUUUGUUGUAAAUUAAAGUUGAUAUUAAAAUUAUAAAAAAUAAAAAAUAAAAAAUAAAAAAACUGGAUAUUAAAAUUAGGUGUGGAUAUUGGAUAAGGAUUGUCUGCCCUCCUAGUUGUGGUGCUCUUCCAUGCUCUCAUAUUUUGUGCGGUCACGGUUAAGCCACGUCAAUAUUUUAUAUUAAUUUUUUAAUGAGAUAAUAAGACAAAAAACACUAAAAAUAUAAAAUAUUGACGUAACUUAACCGUGACCAUACAAAAUAGAAGGGCAUGGAAUGACACCACAACUAAGAGGGCAGACAAUCCUUGUCCGUGGAUAUUGUCAUGCUCAUGAUUAGAUAAAUGCAGCUCACAUUUUUAAUUAAAAGAAUCUAUGGAAAUAAUGAUAGGCUUAUUAUUUUGGGAUGAUAGGCUUAUUAGUUUGGGACUCUUUUGUCAUUUUCUGCGGACCAAGUUGCAUGAGAGAUAUGGUGACAGAACCUGGAAACGGAGAUACAACAAACACAGCCCCCACGCUCGACUGUGUCCCAGGACUCAUCUAAUUGGUGGGACCGAUAGGGUUUGUUCUACACGCGCGGGGAUGAGGGUGGUGCAAAGGAAGGAGGGGCGUGGAUUGAUGAGUUCAAAUGAUUGUGAUGAGGAGGGUGUCGGGGAGUGGAGUGACAAGAUGACACGAACGAUUGUGUGGAAGGUGUGUGCGUGGGGGCCCACAAGUUGAAGCAGGAAAAGAGAGAAGCGUGUUAGAGCACGUGUCCCGAAUGGGCCAGGCAGGACAUGUUGGUCCACGUGAGUUUGGGGGAGGCAAUGCUCUUUCUUCCACGCUUCCCUUAUUUUUGCAAGCCCCUCCCUUCCCACGUGAACUCCACUCUCUCUCUGUCUCUCUCUUCGCUUGUUUCAUUUGUCCAGCUUCGGCUUGGCUGCAUGGCUAUUUGCUCAAACAGCUUCGGCCUACUUCUCCCUAAUAUUUAGCGCAACCAAACUCUUUUUAACUUAAGAUAUGAUAUCCACACAUUCUUUUUACUUCUUUCACAUUUUUUUAAUUUUUAAUUGUCGGAUUGGAUGAAUUGAAAAAUAUCAAAGGAUAAAAAUUAAUAAGGGAUGUGGAAGAAGUAAAAAGGAUGUGUGGAUAGCACACCCCUUAACUUAAUCAUUCCAUGUGUUAAUCCAUGUGUUCAUGAUCAUAUAAGUUUUUUUUGUUAAUAAACAAUAUUAUUUACACUAAGAUGGUGAGAGAAUGAGCUAGCAAUAAUGCAAUUCAAAUUCGUUUUUGACAAAAAUCGAACAUAAAACCUCUCAGUUACUAGUAACAAGGAAUACUAUUUGACCGUAAACUAAAUGACAAUGAUCAUUUAUGUUAAAGAAGGAUAAUAAAUCUUUAUUAUGCAUCUCUUAUUCUCUUAUUCGCUAUCAUGGGCUCCUCUCGUCGCUUAUUGUUUCACUAGCUCAUCUUAGUUAGAUGCAGUAAUUAGUACAUUUAAUGUGUACUUUUCAUUAGUGUUGUCUACUGACAAAUAAGAAUUAUCAUACUAUUAAGUUUAAUAUAUUGAACUCAUGAAUUUAAUAUAUGGAAUUCAUGAGUUUAAUAUAUUGAUAUCACACUCAAAUUCUCUGAUCUACUAAAAGAGUUUAAUUCUUAUAUGAACUCAAUAUGUUGAAAUCCCACUUACUUUUUUGGCUUACUGUGGAAGGACUUAGAUGUGGUUGGAAAUGUAGUUGUUAAAAAUUAUUGGAAGUAGUUGGAAAUGUAGUUUCUAAAGUGCAAUAUUUUCACAUAUGACAUGUUCCAACCACUCUAUUGUUGUAACUUGUAAACCUUGUUGUAAACCAUGCCCCAAACUCCUUGGUUUGAUUGAGAAAUUACUUUAAUACAAGCAAGAGAAAGUACGAAUUUCAAAACAACAUUAAAUUGCACCAAUAGUACAAACUCAAUAUCCAGGAGGUCGCAUUUACGACAUGUUUGACUAAUAUUUGCGUACAUGUUAUCUCAUGGCCAAUUUAAAAAUCAAAAUAUGUUAAGCAUUUAGUGCUACGGUUUAGUGAUAUACUUCUUCAUUUAUAAGUGAGAGGUUUUGAAUUUGAUUCUCACCAAAGGAAAAUUUACCACAUUAUUGCUAAUUUAUUAUGAAACUUUGCCCGCUCUUGCACACUCCUUAGUAUAGAUAUAGUUAAUAAAAAUAUAUAUGCUACAUCAUGUAAUUAACACACUUUGACCAAAAAUACAAAACUUUCCUAGGUAAAUUAGUCACGGUGAAUCUGGUAAUGCAGCCACAAGAUCCUAGUUGUCUGAAAGGGCUCAGCUAUCAACCAUCUCAUAGCAGUUCCACCGCUGCUCUUUGCCUAGCACCCAGCCCAAAAAAUGGACCGGCUUCCCUUCAAUCUGCUUCACCCCAACCCUUUAGGCUGGCACCCAGCCCAAGCCAAGCCACAAGCUGUGACACACCCCGACCCAGGAUGUCCACUAGAAAUCCGAAUCGAGCUGUAAUGGCCAACACCUGGAAGGUGACGAAGCCAUAAAUUGUGAUGAUGAUGAAAAAUGUGAAUAAAUUUAAACCUAAGAGUGCCUCAAAACCAGAAUGCGCUGGUCAGCGGAAAUGAACCCAGUUCACACGUGACGUUAAAGCACAAGUAAGUACAGUAGAGUGGAUUGAGAAUUAUACCAUCGAAAGAAAUCUCCAAUACUAAGAUUUUCAAUGAAUCCUCGUCGAUAAGAAAGCUCAGCUAAUAAAACAUGGAGGGUGAAAACAAAAUAAGGGUUAGUGGCCCUGGAAAUAAAAUCUUAAU